GACAGAGGUCUCGAGCGUUAGGCGGAAUCACUGGGCUUAAAGCGUGUGUAGGCGGAUGCUAAGUACCUUGUGAAAUCCCACAGCUUAACUGUGGAACUGCUUGGUAUACUGCCAGUCUUGAGCCAGCUAGGGGCUACCGGAACAAAUGGUGGAGCGGUGAAAUGCGUAGAUAUCAUUUGGAACGCCAAUGGUGAAAACAGGUAGCUGGGGCUGUGCUGACGCUGAGACACGAAAGCCAGGGGAGCAAACGGG
rnacentral:rRNA from 1 species